rnacentral:rRNA from 1 species
CCCUUAGAUGUUCUGGGCUGCACGCGGGCUACACUGAUGCACUCAACGAGUUUACGACCUUGCCCGAUAGGGUUGGGUAAUCUUUUUAAAAUGCAUCGUGAUGGGGAUAGAUUAUUGCAAUUAUUAAUCUUCAACGAGGAAUUCCUAGUAAGCGCGAGUCAUCAGCUCGUGCUGAUUACGUCCCUGCCCUUUGUACACACCGCCCGUCGCUCCUACCGAUUGAGUGCUCAGGUGAAUAAUUCGGACUGCAGCAAUGUUUGGAUCCCGAACGUUGCAGCGGAAAGUUUAGUGAACCUUAUCACUUAGAGGAAGGAGAAGUCGUAACA